GUGGCCGUCGCCUAGUGGUGAAGGCUCAAGGUUGUGACCCUUGCAUCGCCGGUUCGAAUCCGGCCGGCCACC
rnacentral:tRNA from 1 species